UCUCCCGUGAGAGGGUCAUUGCG
rnacentral:piRNA from 1 species